rnacentral:rRNA from 1 species
GGAAUAUUGGACAAUGGGGGCAACCCUGAUCCAGCCAUCCCGCGUGCAGGACGACGGCCCUACGGGUUGUAAACUGCUUUUACGAGGGAAGAACAGGUCUCACGAGCUGAGAUUAUGAAGGUCACUUGGGAAUAAGCACCGGCUAACUCCGUGCCAGCAGCCGCGGUAAUACGGAGGGUGCAAGCGUUAUCCGGAAUCACUGGGUUUAAAGGGUGCGUAGGCGGCACGAUAAGUCAGGGGUGAAAGGCUGCAGCUUAACUGUAGAAUUGCCUUUGAUACUGUUGUGCUUGAAUUAGGAUGAGGUCGGCGGAAUGUGACAUGUAGCGGUGAAAUGCAUAGAUAUGUCAUAGAACACCGAUUGCGAAGGCAGCCGGCUAGGCCUUAAUUGACGCUGAGGCACGAAAGCGUGGGGAGCGAAC